AUUGAACGCUGGCGGCAUGCCUAAUACAUGCAAGUCGAACGGGGCAGCAAUGCCUAGUGGCGGACGGGUGAGGAAUACGUAGGAAUCUGCCCUUAAGGGGGGGUUAACCAGGGGAAACCCUGACUAAUACCGAACGACUUCUUAGGAGAAAGGAGGGGGACCGCAAGGCCUCCCGCUUCUGGAUGAGCCUACGUCUGAUUAGCUAGUUGGUAGGGUAAAGGCCUACCAAGGCGACGAUCGGUAACUGGUCUGAGAGGAUGAUCAGUCAACCCGGAACUGAGACACGGUACGGACUCCUACGCGAGGCAGCAGUGGGGAAUUUUGGACAAUGGGCGCAAGCCUGAUCCAGCAAUGCCGCGUGCAGGAUGAAGGCCUUCGGGUUGUAAACUGCUUUUGUACGGAGCGAAAAGGCUUCCACUAAUACUGGGGGCUCAUGACGGUACCGUAAGAAUAAGCACCGGCUAACUACGUGCCAGCAGCCGCGGUAACAC
rnacentral:rRNA from 1 species